GUUAAGAUUAAACUCUGAAAUCACUCAGACAUGGAGAGGCCAAAGUCCCUUUCUGGUGCACCCUGAGAGAGCAGGAUGGUGCUUCUGCUCCCACAGAGGAUUCUUUUUGUCUCCUUACUCUGGAGAAAGCCCACGAGGCUGAAUCUUACACAACACAUUUGACAAAUGAGGCUGUGGUGAGAUUGUGGCUUUAGUGAACAGAUGCGGUGACACAGGGUGGGAAAGUCCCCAGAACUCCCACCAAGAGGAAAAGGGAUGGAAUUUACCAGCGACCAAGCUGAAGGAGGAGGAUGGAACGGUGAGAAAGGAGCUGGUUCCAGAAUAGAUGCCCCAGGGGAACAGAAGAUUGAGCAUGCUGCCCUUUGGCCAUUGGCACUAAUUUGCCAAUUCAGUAGAGAUGACAAAAGACGAAGUGGGGAGUCCACGCCCAUCUCAGGUAAAAGAAUUGCCUGUUUCAAGAAAACUGGGAAACACUGAUAGGACAAAAUAAAUGGGAGAAGAACAAGACUCCUAUGUCAUCUUGUGGACUUCAGACACAGCGCCAGAUCAAACGUAGUUAUGGUGAGAAAACAUUGAUAUUCUGCCUUCUCCUUGAGCAUAAAGCAGACAACAAACACCUCACUUUAACCUGUAAAUGCUAGGAGGGCUUUGUAUGGACGCUCUAGGUUUGUUGGAAUUUUCUUCCUUCUAAAACGAAUCUCAGAGUCACUGUAGACUAAGAAAAAGAGCAGAUUAAUCGAAUCGGCCUCCCGAACCACCCAGAUUGUACUUCACAAAGGUUUCUGUGUGUUCUUAGCAAGGUCAAUUGACUAAGUAGUCAUCUGUGAGUGUGGAUUCUUGUCUCUUUCUCUCCUUCUCUCAAAUUAGGAGAUAUCUGGGCUUGGUGCUCUAUUUUGCCAGUUGCUCUGGCUUCAAAUUUUGAAUUUUUUUUAAAAAAUUACAUAGUUGAGUCUAAUGUUCAAUUUCAGUGGUUUUCAGGGGAUUAUUUGUAGUGCCUAUUCUGUUAUACAGAGAAAUCUUUCUUUAAAAACACGAUCCAUCUUUCUAGUAGUACUUCAUUUAGAAAUUCAGAGUGGGCAGAUAGCCCUGAGAUAUGGAUAUCCUCUUCUUUCCCCUUCUAUCUGAAAAAGGGGAAAAAAAAAAUCUAGUAUUUUUUUCAGUAUUGCUGAUGUCCCAGACACGUCUGAGUAACUGUCAUGUACAAUCAGUAUCUAUCCAUGGGAAUCUCAUAGAACCAGGGUGGUUUUAAUGUUCACCAGAAUAUUUCUGUGAGAGUUCCUAGGAUGCCAGGGAAAGCACUGACUGACCACAGAAAACAGAUAUGAGACAAGUGCAUGAUGACUUUUUUUUUUUUUAAGGAAAAAAGUAUUAAGGAUCCAACUGAGAACUACACUGACAUAACCAUAUGUACUUUUGGUCACUGUUAAGUCUGUGUUUUCCAGCCUGUUAACUCCACGAGAAUAAGACAUAGCUGCAGUAUGGAGCUGAGUCAGUUUGGAUUCAGCAUUUAAAGAAAGAAUGGAAGAGAAGCAACCAGGUGUCAAAAGAUGUAAGUAGGUUAGAUCACAAUGAGGAGAUAGCCUUCCCAUCUGCUGGGAACUCCUUUGCAAGGUAAGACUGUUAGAUGUACAAGUCCCUGGCUGGGACUGGUGAAGAGGAUGUAAGCAUGGAAACUAACAGAGCUCUACUAUGAUCAAGUAGGGGAUGAGGGCAGCAUUCCCUAUAAAAAGGAUCUUGAGGUCCCUGCUGAGGUGCCAAGGUUGAAUAUUUUGCCAGAGGUGGAAACUGAAUUGAUUUGUGCCCCUCAGGCUAGCUCCAGGAACCUCACUCCUGCCUGAGAGCAUUAGUCCACAUGUGGAGAGAGGCUUUUCAGCUGGAGACGAGUUUAUGGCUUUUGACUUUUUCAUGUUCAUGUGUUUUUAUAAAGCCACAAUCGUUUUGUUUUUUUUUUAUUGGGCUUUUAUAGAAAGGUCUCUGAAGUCUAGCAAAAUCUCAGCUUAACAGUAGAGAUUGUGCUAGAGAGACAUAUAAGAAGUAAGAGGAAAUAAGAAGGCCAUGGGAGAGAUGGGUAAAUACAGAAGUGCAAGCAGAGUUCUGUCAAAGCAAGUUUCUGACUUACACAUUUAACUUUAUCCGUCAGCCUAGGGGCAAGUCUACAGCAUGAUUAACCUCCUAGAUCUCACUUGUUCCAGGUCCAAGCAUUAUCUGGCCAGAGUGCAUUGCCAAUCCACCAUGCCAGCCAUCCCACCAGAGGCAUCUUGAUGUCAGCAUUGAUGUGACCCAGAAAUGAGGGGAGAGUGACGGGAAUUCACUGUGCUGGGGAAUUCAGUGCUGCAGAUAGUGAAACACCUUCCAAACCAGAAGAGGUUGCUCUGUGUUCCAAUAUUACUGAUGGUAAAGGAAAUGUUGUGUGAAAUGUUCUGGUCAGCCAAGGAAGUGGACCAUGCAGCAUGGGAUGGCAGCCCCUUCGUGAUCCCUGAGGCUUUGGUGCUGGGAUCAGCACAAGGAAGGACGCCAGAGGAAAAAGUCAGGUUCAGGUUGGAAAUGUAUUGCUCAGAGGAAGCAGAUGGAAGAAGAGGUGUCUCUGAGUUUGAAUCAGCUUCUGUAUGAUCAUGGCUUAAUGAUCAUAAAUCCUCUGGGGCCUGCAACCUAACAAGGGAAUAAAGGAGGAAGCGCCGUCUCUCUCAGAUCAAAGUAAAGAGAAAAGCUGAGAUGUAAAGGAGACGAAAUGAGCUGCAGGGUAUGUGAAAAUCAGAGCUCCCAUACAGCUUGCUGGAGACUGCCAAAAUAGGGUUCUCCACAGCCAUCCCCUACCUAUGCAAUAUAGUGAUGGGAGCGUUUUUAGAUAAGAUCAGACCCAGAGAGAACAUGCCUGGCUCUGUUUCUUCCAGCGGAACAAUAUGGAAACCCACUGCUGGGAAACCGUUUUUCCGAGCCAGAGAGGAGGCAGGGAAUUGUUCUGUGCAACCAUUCAGGAGCCUCCGCUCCCACGCAUUCUCCCGCUUGCUGACACCCUGCCAGGACCGCAAAGGAGGAAUUGAUUUACAUGCAGCUGAGUUGCAGCUGAUCUAGAGCACAUCCACAGCAAAAAUGCCACUGGGCAUUUUGCAGUUACUGCAGCAUCACUUCAGAUGAAAGAACAUGCACAAAUCCCUAACUUGAAGAAAAAUAAGAGAACGGAAGAAAAAGUUCACAGGCUGCUGUGUAGCUCAGCGCUCAGGUGAAGGACAGGGCUAUGGGUCACCCCUUUCCUUCCCACCCUGAACAUAAACGUUGGAUAGCGAGUGGAAGCUCCUGGUAUGAAGGAAGGUCAUGCAGGCCUGGGUAAGUUUGGCAACUGACAAAUGGAGGCCAUGGAGUUCUUCACAAAAGAUUAUACUUUCUACAGCCAUUUGCAAUGACACCUGCACUGUGCCAUUUCACUGUCCUUGGGCUUGGCGUAUAUUGCAGUGUAGUCUCCUUCAGCACAGGUGGCACCUUAUGCAGCACAGUUGUCGCUGAAUGACUCUGAAAUCCUCCCUCUCCAAGGAUACAACUGCCCUGCAGCUCAAGACAGGAUUGCGAUGCCAGCUGAACAGACCUGAGAGAGAAUCAAGCUCCUUGGGGUCCUACUUUGCUGGUCUCCCAGCUGAAUCUCCUUACACUGCACUGGUAUUCUUAGGAAUAAAGCUAGUUGAAGCGUGACUUCCGCAACCACCACCAGAUUGCAGCAGGGAUGCCC
ensembl:lncRNA